GACGAACGCUGGCGGCGGGCUUAACACAUGCAAGUCGAACGGAAAGGCCCUGCUUGUGUGGGGUGCUCGAGUGGCGAACGGGUGAGUAACACGUGAGUAACCUGCCCUGGACUGUGGGAUAACUUCAGGAAACUGGGGCUAAUACCGGAGAGGAGCUCCUGCUGCAGGGGGGGGGUUGGAAAGUUUCGGCGGGGGGGGAUUGACUCGCGGCUUAUCAGCUUGUGGGUGGGGGAGUGGCUUAGCAAGGCAUUGACGGGUAGCCGGCCUGAGAGGGUGGCCGGCCACCUUGGGCCUGAGGUACGGCCCAGUCUCCUACGGGAGGCAGCAGUGGGGAAUCUUGCACAAUGGGGGCACGCCUGUUGCAGCGACGUCGCGUUCGUGAUGCCGGCUAUCUGGUUGUAAACCGCAUUCGCUUGUGACGAAGCGUUAGUGACGUUAACGGGUAAAGAAGCACCGGCUAACUACGUG
rnacentral:rRNA from 1 species